GACCUCUGUUUUAGGAAAAGGAUCCCAGGAGAUCUCAGAAAAAGUAGCCUGGGGAACCAGCUCCCUCUGUUGGAUUUCCUCAGCCUGAAUGUGAGCCGUCUUCAAGUUAAAAUGACUACCUGAGGGUUGUUGGGUUUUUUAUAUGAUUGCACGCUCCUGGAAGACUAGAACCACUUCCAUAUUUAUGGUCUGCUCCCAAGUGAACAGUACUUUAUCCUGCACAGAGUUGGUACUCGAUGCAGUGUUCUGAAGAUAGGCAGUAUCCAGUAAAUAGUCUAUGACUGGCUGCCUCACUGGAAACGCGUGAAAUCCAAUCAGUUCGUCAGAUGGACACACGGCCAUCCCGGGUUCCAGGCCAAGCUGAAGACGGGGCGAGAGAAGACGUUAUUCCUUCCGGUCCGCAAGGUGCCAUCUCGCUCGGGUUUCUACAAACUAUCAAAUGAGGACACUUUCCAAGAAUACAUCACUCUUUAUAAUCAUCUUUUCAUCAUCCGUGGCCCCGAAUAUGGUUUCAACACGUUGCAGUAUAUUACUUGUGUGAUCGCUUAGUGCACUAUUACUCAACAGCAAUACAAUCAUUACUCUUACAUGAAGU